AUACGGAGGGUGCGAGCGUUAAUCGGAAUUACUGGGCGUAAAGCGUACGUAGGCGGUUGGUUAAGUUAGAUGUGAAAGCCCCGGGCUUAACCUGGGAACUGCAUUUAAAACUGGCGAACUAGAGUUGAGUAGAGGGGAGUGGAAUUUCAGGUGGAGCGGUGAAAUGCGUAGAGAUCUGAAGGAACACCAGUGGCGAAGGCGACUCCCUGGACUCGAACUGACGCUGAGGUACGAAAGCGUGGGUAGCAAACGGGAUUAGAUACCCUAGUAGUCC
rnacentral:rRNA from 1 species